CAAAGGUGAGCCAGUACAGGAUGGACCCGCGUCUGAUUAGCUAGUUGGUAAGGUAACGGCUUACCAAGGCGACGAUCAGUAGCCGACCUGAGAGGGUGAUCGGCCACAUUGGAACUGAGACACGGUCCAAACUCCUACGGGAGGCAGCAGUGGGGAAUAUUGCACAAUGGGCGAAAGCCUGAUGCAGCAACGCCGCGUGAGUGAUGAAGGCCUUCGGGUCGUAAAACUCUGUCCUCAAGGAAGAUAAUGACGGUACUUGAGGAGGAAGCCCCGGCUAACUACGUGCCAGCAGCCGCGGUAAUACGUAGGGGGCUAGCGUUAUCCGGAUUUACUGGGCGUAAAGGGUGCGUAGGCGGUCUUUCAAGUCAGGAGUGAAAGGCCACGGCUCAACCGUAGUAAGCUCUUGAAACUGGGAGACUUGAGUGCAGGAGAGGAGAGUGGAAUUCCUAGUGUAGCGGUGAAAUGCGUAGAUAUUAGGAGGAACACCAGUUGCGAAGGCGGCUCUCUGGACUGUAACUGACGCUGAGGCACGAAAGCGUGGGGAGCAAACAGGAUUAGAUACCCUGGUAGUCCACGCUGUAAACGACGA
rnacentral:rRNA from 1 species